AGAGUUUGAUCAUGGCUCAGGACGAACGCUGGCGGCGCGCCUAACACAUGCAAGUCGAACGAGAGGUGAGGAGCUUGCUCUUCAAAUCGAGUGGCGAACGGGUGAGUAACGCGUGAGGAACCUGCCUCAAAGAGGGGGACAACAGUUGGAAACGACUGCUAAUACCGCAUAAGCCCACGGCUCGGCAUCGAGCAGAGGGAAAAGGAGUGAUCCGCUUUGAGAUGGCCUCGCGUCCGAUUAGCUAGUUGGUGAGGUAACGGCCACCAAGGCAACGAUCGGUAGCCGGACUGAGAGGUUGAACGGCCACAUUGGGACUGAGACACGGCCCAGACUCGAUACGGGAGC
rnacentral:rRNA from 1 species